AGGAUAGUCCUUCCUUUCCCUCCCCCUCCGGGUUUGGUAGAUCCCCAAGAGGGUCGUCGCAUAGUGUUUUUCUUGAAGCAGAGAGAAUUCGGUCUACCGUUUCCUUUUACCCCUUUCUUUAUUGAGGUCUUUGACUACUUCGGGGUAACUCCUCGGAUGUUAUCCCCAAACUCCAUUUUGUUCAUGUCCUGUUUUGAGUCUAUCUGCCUGAGUUGGGGUUUCACACCCACGGCCUGUCUGUUUGUCACUUUNN
rnacentral:lncRNA from 1 species